CCACCAUGCUGCAAGCAACAAGGACACUAGUCUAAAGACUCCAGCAAAGGGAACUGGCCCAAAUUUCAAAGCGGGGAUUCCUUACCGAUGACUAAGUGACCAUCAUGGGUCUGCCAAGCCUAUGGGUUUCCCCCCACAGACUACAGGCUUUUUGGUCCUUGCUACAGGGAAAUCCCAAGAAUCUACACAUCAGAUCCUCGGCCCCAGUGAUUGCUCUUCCCUCUCUGGGGUAGAAUAUGGCAGCCGUCUCUCCUGUGCAUGUCACCGCGUGGAGGUUGGGAGGUGAAGAAUUGCUGCAGUUACAGGGGAAAUUUGAAGUGGAUUGCAAUAUCCCGUACUGCCCUCUCGGGCCUGAUUCUCUACUACCUUGCCCUGGGUGCUGGGUCUCACACCUGCACCAAGUGAGCAUGACACCUCAGCAGAUCAGAAAAGCAACAUAUUGGACAUAUGGCACUCACUUGGUGUCAAUGAUGACUCGAGGUUUCUCUGCUCUGGGAGUUGGAGGUAUUAUUUCCAGCUCAAGCAGACCUACCCGUGCUAGCUCUGAUCAAGCUAACAUGCUAAAUAUAGCACAGCUGCGGUAGUAUGAACACCGGGUAGAGCUAGCCACAUACUCAGGUGGACUCCUCUGACUGCUCACGUCUCUAUUUUUAGGAUAGUAGCUCCAUCAAAGCUCACCUCAUAGGUAUGUAUCCUUGAGCUGGAGAUUACACCCCCAGCUCAAAGGAUAGAAGCACUCACAGCAUACAGCAGUGGAUAACAAGGCCUCUAGUCUUAUGGGCUGUUUCUCCUCUCUCUUGCACAUCUGUAAAUCAGGAGACGUUCCAUUGCCCAGAAGACGCAGACUUGGUGACUGCAUUUAGAAAAGGCCAGGCUCUCACGGUUUAGAGCCUAUCGAAGAUGCUUGUAAUGGUGGCAUUUUCAUAACUGGGGAUUGAAUUAGAUUUCACACAUAUAUUCAUCCUGGUUUGCAGGAACCUAGCAUGCCUAGGAAAUGUGACACUCUCCCCCAACACACCAAUGAAACCAGAAUUGUUAUGUGCCCUCUUGCUAGUGUUAUGUUUGUUUGAACAGAAGUCUUGUAGAGUCACAUGCCCUGACCUUAGCCACAGAGGUACUAAAAUCCAACAAAAUACUGUAGUAAAGUGAUAUCAAGUGGGGAAAGGCAAGACAGACAAAGAAUCCACACGCAAAGCUAGAACUCUCAUGCUUUUACCCAUGAAAGCUCAUAAUCCUAUAUAUUUAUUAGUCUGUAAGGUGCCAUAGGACUAUUCAUUGUUCUUACGCACAUCAGGUUAAUUCUUAUGCACAUCAGGUUAAUUUAAUGACAAGGAUGCAAUGGUAACACUCAUGUUCUUUCAUUUUUGUGCUUUAAGAAAGGCCUUCAACGUUACUUGAACAUAUUUGGAGAGGAUUUAAUUUCCUUUGAAUUCUUCUCUUUUUAUUUUUAAACUAACAAAUGAAGCUGCUUUUUCUCUUCGUGCCCUAUGACACACAUACCCUCUGCAUUCUACAGAGCUACAGUAGAGCUGGUAGCUGUUUUGAAUAGUUGAAGAAUAAAGCAGUAUUGAUCUGAAAGCUUGUCUCAUAAUUUGAUGUGGAUUGAGUCAGAAACUGGAGUCUGCAGAAUGUUAACAUCAGGGAGGUGAAUACGGCAGAGUAGAAAGGUUAGCUGAAAAUGGAGAAUUAUUUCCAUUUGGAAAGACAUUUCCCAUGAAUAUCUUUUCCAUAUAACAUAGACCAA